GAAAAGUUUGAUUCUGGCUUGAAUUGAAUAUAUCAAUGAUGGAUAUUAAUAUGUAAAUUUUUGUGUGUUAUAUAGUUUACUUAAAAAGUGGAUAUAUGCAUAUUUAUUCGCAGUUUUUAAUUUUAUAUAUUUAAUAAUUUAAGAUAUAGCUAAUUAUUUAUUUACUAGCAUAAAUUGUGCCAGCAGCUGCGGUUAUACAAUUAAGUCAAAUAUAUUCUUUUAAGGUGUUUAUUAUAAUUAUUGAUUAUGAUUUAAAUAAUUAGAUUUUAAGGUGAAAUUUUAAAUCUAAAAUUUUAAUUUGGAUAAUAAUAUAAUAAGAAAUUUAUUAUUUAAACUAGGAUUAGAUACCCUAUUAUUUUAAAUGUAAAAUUUGGCCUUUAGUAUUAUAAGUUAAGAUCUUUAAAUUGAAAGAAUUUGACGGUAAUUUAAUCAUUUUAGAGGAACCUGUUCUGUAAUCGAUAAUCCACGAUAGAUUUUACCUUUAUUUAUAAAAUUUGUAUACCUCUGUUUGAUUGAAUGUUUUACUAGAAUAUUUUCUUUUAUUUUUAUUGAAUAUUAUAUCAGGUCAAGGUGCAGUUAUAUAAAGGAUUAAAAUGGGUUACAUUUAAUUUAUUAUUGGAUAGAAAUAUUAUGAAUUUUCUUGAAAUUGGAUUUAAUUGUAAUGUUUAAUAUAUAUUAUUCAUGAUAUAUGUUCUUGGUUAAGUACACAUCGCCCGUCACUCUCAUUAAUAAGAUGAGAUAAGUCGUAACAAAGUAGUUUUACCGGAAGGUAAAGCUAGAUUUAU
rnacentral:ncRNA from 1 species